UACGUAGGGGGCUAGCGUUGUCCGGAAUCAUUGGGCGUAAAGAGCGCGUAGGCGGCCAGGUAAGUCCGGUGUGAAAGUCAAAGGCUCAACCUUUGAAUGCCGCUGGAAACUGUCUGGCUAGAGUCCGGGAGGGGCGAGUGGAAUUCCUGGUGUAGCGGUGAAAUGCGCAGAUAUCAGGAGGAACACCAAUGGCGAAGGCAGCUCGCUGGAACGGUACUGACGCUGAGGCGCGAAAGCGUGGGGAGCGAACAGG
rnacentral:rRNA from 1 species